rnacentral:lncRNA from 1 species
CUCAGCAUGUUCCCUCUCCUCAUGAGAUUGGUGAAGAAAGUAUUUGGCAAAGUUCUUCAAAGCCACAUCAUCGCGGUAAACGUAGGAGGCGUAGAGCUCCAGGUUGAUCUGGCGGUUUAUGGCGGCCUCUGAGUCCUGGUGGGAGUUCUGGCGCACCUGCGAGGCGGACGCGGUCGUCAUGGCGGCGACUAAGCAGAGGCGGCGGUGGCGGCGGCGCGGCGGCGGGGGCCCUGGGGCAGUCCGAGGGUGCGGUGAAGAGGUGACGGAGGGCUGGCUAUGG